GGGCCUAUAGUUCAGCGGUAGAACUCACCGCUCAUAACGGUGCUGUCGUAGGUUCGAAUCCUGCUAGGCCCACCA
rnacentral:tRNA from 1 species